UAGACUUGUUGAUAUUGAAGUUGUGGAAACAGCUACAUCCACUUAAUUUCGUAGAAAACCGUUAAUCGUCUAACGGAACGUCGUCGGAGGUGACCUUGGUUUCACCUAGUCUACAUUGGACAGUUUGGUCUAGUGAAGCAACGUACAACAGCAAACUUCGUCGUACUACCAGAGUAGCAGCAGAAGCAGUGAACUAUUCUUAGAGAACCGUUAUUCGUCAGCCCAGAUCGAGUCAUCGUCAAGAAAGUAGUUAUUCGUCAGCCCAGAUCAAGUCAUCGUCAAGAAAGCCGUUAUUCGUCAGCCCAGAUCAAGUCAUCGUCAAGAAAUUCGUUAUUCGUCAGUCGUCCAGAUCAAGUUGCCGUCAAGAGACUGUUAUUUGUCGGUAGUCGUCUACACAAGUCAAGUCAUCGCCAGAGGAACCGUUAACCUAUUCGUCAGUAACUGUGUACACAAGGUCGUCGGAACUACACAUACGGUCAUUAACAGUCGUCGAAGAAACUGAAACAUUUUGCUGUGGCAUAUCAGGACAUCUGUGGCAUUACGUGGGAUACUGGUAGCACCGGAGAACAGAGUCGGAACUAGAAGAGAGGCAGUGGAAUUUGUUGUGAUCUAGCAUAUUCGGGAGUCCGAACAAAGGGAUCUUUCUUAUCAAAAGCUAAGUGCCAUUUUUCUUAUUAGUAUAUGUUUAGAUUGCCCUUAGAAAUAGAUUUUGUCUAAAUUUGGUACGUUAGCCUGAGUAAAAUCAGGUGGUGCGCCUUAAAACCCGUCGGGGUAGAAGACGUAAUUUAGAUGAAAAGCUAUAUUAUACGUUUAGAGUUGUAAUUUGUUUUGUUUGUGUAAACGUCAUAUCCGUUGUUGCCUGGUUACUUCGUGACGUUAUCAUUGUGUGCCAUAUUGUCACAUCCCAACCCAUAGCGAUAGUCUCAUUUUAAUUAUUUCAUUUGUUUAUAUUAUUUUAAAUUAUUUAUUUUUAUUAAUUUAAUUAGAUCUGUAUUUUUUUUUUCACUUAAUGAUAGAAAGUACGGGUAGGAUUCUUUUACUGUGAAUCAGACUAAAAUAAUUUUAGUUUGAGCGGUUAAAAUCAAAUAUGAUUUUGCCAUGAGAAUAAUGCCGAAACUGGCUAUGUAGUCAAACACUGUCGUCUGGCUAAAUUUAGAUCUGCAAAUUGUUGUACAUCUCUUUGGUACAAUUAAAUCAUCUAGACUCUAAUUUGAGAAUAUUAUUAAUUGAAAGAUGAAUGAAGAUUACUACCAGUAAAGAACAUUUGAGAUGUGUAGGACAUGCUCAUAAGAUGCCACAUUUUCCUCCAUGAUGAUUCUGGAAUGUUAUGAACUGUUAUGAACAUUGACAUGAAUAUGAGGAACUGUCAAGAUGAAGAUGUCAAGAUGAAGAGAUCAAGAUUUUAUGUUUGUGGUCUUCCCCUUAAAUUGAAAAUGCCCUUGUAAGACUUGACAGUAGUGGAAAAAUAUUGACAUAUUUUUUUUUCAAGGGGGGGAGGAAUCUGUUAGACACCUUAUUUAUAUAGGUUAGUUAUUUAGCGACGCACCAUAGAUGACGCAUAUUGAACGGGACUAGUGACGUUUGGGAUAUGUUGGGUUAGAGACCGAAAAAUCAGUUAGCGUUAGAACACUCCAGGGUAACGACGUGUUUAGUGACAGAGACUUCUACUGUGGCCUUUUAUCAGAAUAAACCUAUAUACAAUAGUU